rnacentral:tRNA from 2 species
GGAGAGGUGUCCGAGUGGUCGAAGGUGUUUGACUCGAAAUCAAAUGUACAGCAAUGUACCGUGGGUUCGAAUCCCACCCUCUCCGCCA